rnacentral:rRNA from 1 species
GACGAACGCUGGCGGCGUGCCUAAUACAUGCAGGUCGAGCGCUGAAGGAUGGUGCUUGUCCCAACUGGAUGAGCAGCGAACGGGUGAGUAACGCGUGGGUAAUCUGCCUUUGAGCGGGGGACAACAUGUGGAAACGAAUGCUAAUACCGCAUAAAAACUUCAAACACAAGUUUUAAGCUUGAAAGAUGCAAUUGCAUGACUCAAAGAUGAUCCCGCGUUGUAUUAGCUAGUUGGUGAGGUAAAGGCUCACCCAGGCGAUGUUACAUAGCCGACCUGAGAGGGUGAUAGCCCCCAUGGGAAUUGGGCCCCGCCCCAACUUCCUACGGGGGCAACAGUAGGGGAACUUCGGCCAUUGGGGGAAGUCUGACCGAGCCACGCCCGGUGAGUGGAGGAGGGUUUCGGGACUUAAAACUCUGUUUGUAGAGAAGGACGUUGGUUAGAGUGUUAAGCUCAUCGACUGACGGUACCUACCCAGAAAGCGACGGCUAACUACGUG